UAUUAUAAAUAUGCCCUAAGUCAGCCAAUUCCCUUUCUGGUCUCCAAGCUAUAGAGAUGGUUGGACCCACCUGUCAAAAUAUAAGAACAGCUCCCAGUGGGCUCCAGCCAAGAACACUUCCCAUCAGCCCUUUCUUAUUCCCUACAUAACUCAUAACAUUUAGCAGUAUCUAUAGCUAAUAUUUGUGAGUGUGAGCCGUGAAUAUUAGGUUUCCCACCGGGCCCUAGGAGGCCCAUUCCAACACUGGCUAUACACACAAUGGCAGGUAAUAGAUUUAGCAUUUAGGAGAAUUUAAAGGAAACACAAUGUUCACGCCAUGUCCAUGUUUUGUAGCUUUCAUGUUGCCUGCAUAUUAGCUGUGAAAUAUACCGAUCUCUCUUCUCUAUUACAGGAGAAACGGUUAUGGGUUGCAAGCUGUGUAGAGUUGAGGUAAGGAUGCUCACGUGUUCCCUUUUGUCUCUCUUAAGGGCCUGGGUAAAGAAUAUGGUGGCACUGACAUAGGAGGGUGUGGGAGUUCAGGGCAAAACAGAUGGGGGCCAAAUUAAACACCUGGGCACAUGGAGCUCUAUUGACAUAUCUGAGACAGAUAAUUACCCACACACACACAUUGUACUGAUACAAUCAGGUUUUGAGAAACCAUAAUCUUAACAGGUGUGAGGGAAUGUCCUUUAAUUUUUUAUAACUGUGUUCAUUUUUACAGAACUCAGUUAUUCCUACAAAGCAUGAGAAUGCUUACGUGGAGAUCCUAGAGAUCAGUGAUGUGCAUGACUCUCUGGUGGAGUUUACUGCCACCUUAGAGCUGCCCGACCACCCGGCAAAGCCAUCUUUCCUAGGUAAGUGUGAUCAGUACUAAAAAACACUAUUUAAUUUCCAUAGUAAGAGCCAGAUAUCUGGAAACCCAAUUUCAAUUUAAAGGACCCCGCCGCUAGAUAAUAAUGACAUCUAUUGUAUUUUAAUUCUUGUAGAAUCUCCACAUCCUGCUGGGAAUGAAGAGGACCCUGGCUCUUCCCACAACAUCGGAGGGGCCAUUCCUUUUCAUGAGCCUGAGGGCUCCGAGCCAGCAGAGUCUAUGACCAGGGAUACAGCCAGCCCCACCAAUUUCAACUGGCCUUCAUUCGUAAGUACAUUGUAUAAAUGUUACAUUUAUAUAUACCGUAUAUAUACACACACACACACAAUUUUCUGACUAUAUGCUUAAUGUUCUUUUAUUUAACUUGCCAAUAUUAAGACCUCAUACAUGAUAUAUAUAAGUGUUGAGAUGACAUCCUGCUUAAUGUUGGUUUCUUAAUAUGCUUUAAUUCAGGAUGCCAAGGUGGAGGUCCCUGGUAUAGUAGAUACUUCCGAGGCACUGGUGGUCAUUUUUGUGAGGGCUAAUUCAUAUGAACCACCAGCAUUGCCAGAUUUAUCGGGUAAGUAGGAUCAUGCACCGACUUCUUGAAGUUUAUGAUAGAGUUGAUCAUGCAGAUUUAUUAAACACAGUCCAUCUAAUGUAUUGUUGAUUCCUAUAUCCGGCCACCUGGGCCAUCAACUUUAGGGUCUCCAUAAUUGUGGAGAAUUUGACCUUGUACUCAUAUAGCUUAUAACUGAUAUCUCUCUGUCCUAGUAUUCUUAGUGCAUUUAUGUGGAUUAUAUGGGCAUUUAUAUUUGCUUUUAGUAAUGGGAUACAUAUAUAUUUAUAUAGGAGAGUAUUAACACUUUUUUAUGAAGUAUAGUUCUAAUAUUGCACUUAUAAUGAUGAUAAACUGUUUUAUAAUUUUGAGACUCUAUUGUUCCAUUUCUGCAUAUUCAGAAGAUCCUGAUUGUGAUGCUGGCAUGUCCAAUAACAACGGACUUCCCAAUCAGGAGCAAGAUUCUGAGCCAGAGAAGGACACCGAGGAUGAUAAUUCCACCUCUUCCAGUCCUCUAUUACCAGUAAGUAGAUUCUACAGACUUUUCAUAUUUUUAGAAAAACCAAUGAAUGAAAUUCAUGGAACGUUCAUUCUGUGCAUAAUAAUCGUUUAUCCUUUAUUUGCAGCUCUGCAGUCCUGACUUUGGCUCAGAUUUUGCCAAUAACAUACAGGGUGCUGAAGGACCAUCUAUCAGCCCUGUUGAGCCCAGAUCUCCCUCACUUGCAAAUUUCAACCUGGGCCAAGUGUUGGGAGAAGGAGCAUUUGGGAAGGUAUUCCUAGCCGAGCACAAAAACACCAAAGAACUAUGUGCUAUCAAGGCCCUGAAAAAAGAGGAGAUUUUGAAAAGGGGCAACUUGGACAGUGUCUUCAAAGAGAAGGAAAUCCUCCAGAGGGUGAGUUCUGCCGAACACCCGUUCCUAGUGUCAAUGCAUGGAACCUUCCAGACGGAGUCUCACCUAUUUUGUGUGAUGGAAUAUCUCCCUGGAGGUGACAUGUAUGAAUUUGUAACAUCCGUGGAACUGCAAGAACCGGACGUCAUGUAAGUAGAUUGGGAAUGAGGGAAUAAGUUUCUCAAAGGGGCAUUUUCAGUGAAGCAUCAUCAUAGCAUAUAUUUUUACAAUGUAACAUAAUACAAGCAAUGCUACACCUAUCAUACAGAUAACUGCCUUACUUCUCACUAUGAUCACCUCAAUUCUCACACAUCAGCUUAUAUAUCAAUAAAGAAAAAAUAUUUAAAGUAACUGAAUUUUAUUUUUUCUCUAUUCAGGUUUUACACCGCAUGUGUCGUUCUUGGCCUGGUGGCAUUACACCACCUUGGCAUUGUUCAUAGGUAAGCAU